UAGGGAAUCUUCGGCAAUGGACGGAAGUCUGACCGAGCAACGCCGCGUGAGUGAGGAAGGUUUUCGGAUCGUAAAGCUCUGUUGUAAGAGAAGAACGAGUGUGAGAGUGGAAAGUUCACACUGUGACGGUAUCUUACCAGAAAGGGACGGCUAACUACGUGCCAGCAGCCGCGGUAAUACGUAGGUCCCGAGCGUUGUCCGGAUUUAUUGGGCGUAAAGCGAGCGCAGGCGGUUAGAUAAGUCUGAAGUUAAAGGCUGUGGCUUAACCAUAGUAGGCUUUGGAAACUGUUUAACUUGAGUGCAAGAGGGGAGAGUGGAAUUCCAUGUGUAGCGGUGAAAUGCGUAGAUAUAUGGAGGAACACCGGUGGCGAAAGCGGCUCUCUGGCUUGUAACUGACGCUGAGGCUCGAAAGCGUGGGGAGCAAACAGGAUUAGAUACCCUGGUAGUCCACGCUGUAAACGAUGAGUGCUAGGUGUUAGACCCUUUCCGGGGUUUAGUGCCGUAGCUAACGCAUUAAGCACUCCGCCUGGGGAGUACGACCGCAAGGUUG
rnacentral:rRNA from 1 species